rnacentral:rRNA from 1 species
UGAACGCUGGCGGCAGGCCUACCACAUGCACGUCGAGCGGCUGAAGGGAGCUUGCUCCUGGCUUCAGCGGCGGACGGGUGAGUAAUGCCUAGGAAUCUGCCUGGUAGUGGGGGAUAACGUCCGGAAACGGGCGCUAAUCCCCCAUCCGUCCUGGGGGGGAAAGUGGGGGUUCUUCGGACCUCCCGCUAUCAGAUGAGCCUAGGUCGGAUUAGCUAGUUGGUGGGGUAAAGGCCUACCAAGGCGACGAUCCGUAACUGGUCUGAGAGGAUGAUCAGUCACACUGGAACUGAGACACGGUCCAGACUCCUACGGGAGGCAGCAGUGGGGAAUAUUGGACAAUGGGCGAAAGCCUGAUCCAGCCAUGCCGCGUGUGUGAAGAAGGUCUUCGGAUUGUAAAGCACUUUAAGUUGGGAGGAAGGGCAGUAAGUUAAUACCUUGCUGUUUUGACGUUACCAACAGAAUAAGCACCGGCUAACUUCGUG